AACUUACUUUCCAGUUUUCUAGGGAUAGCACUCUGAAUUUAAAUGUUUCAAAUGGGUUGACAACCACCAAAGACAUUUUCCCCUCUGCUUCCUCCCUCUCCUGUGGUAUUCAAUUCCUUCCUCACUUGACUUAUGUUCACCUAUUUCUUUAACACCAAAUCAAUGCUUCAGUUUUAUAUCUAGAAGUAUAUAUUCAGCACUUGUCCCUUUGAAAUAAAACGUAGUUACGCAAUAGCUGGAGUUAUGUCCAAAAAUCUACAAAAGAAAAUAUUUGAUAAGGAGUUUUCUGAGGAGGCUUCCAAAAGCGAUUUUUGGGGUUUACCUUUUUAAAAAUGUUUCUGUGUUUCAUAUGUGAAAAGGAAUACAAUUUUUAGUUAUUAUAGAGGGAGAAACAAAACUCAAGCAGCACUAUCAGUUUUUUUUUUUGUUGGCCUUUAACCCAUUUUUAAAAUAUAUAAAUAAAUUCCUAGAGAUUAUGUUUCCAGAUCCCUAAGACUAAAAAUGUAAGCAACUAUACUAUAAAGUGCUAGAGCUCAUCAAUUGUGAGUUACAGAAAUCCAUAAUAGAAUUUAACUUGCUGGAAACAAAAAUAAGAAAACCAAAAACAAAACCAAAAGUCAGCUUAAAAUCUACCUCUAGUUUCUUUCCUCUUUCAGUGGAAAUGUACUGAAACAAACAAACAUCACUUUUGCUUGACCAUAGAUUUCCAGUGCGGCAAGAGGAUAUAUAAAACAUUCAGUUACUGUGCAAGUUAAAACUCUCAAAGUUAAGAUGAUGAUACAGCAGGUCCUUCUGAGCCUUGAGAAAUAUGUUCCAAGACCACUAGUGGAUGCCUGAAAUCAGAAAUGAUCAUGGUUGACUGAAGGUAACUGAAAUCACAAAAAGUGAAACCGCAGAUGAGGGGACAACACUGUAUCUGCAAAUGAUGCUGUGGCUGGUGAUGGUAACAGAAGCCUACCAGCCUAGUCAGGCAUUCUUACCCAUGGAAGAGUUGCCAUGGGAACCUCUUGGCAACCCACGGAUUUCAAGCACUGUAUGUUCUGCCAAAAUAAAUAAUGAAAAGUUA